rnacentral:lncRNA from 1 species
CCAGAUAACGCUGCAUUGGGACAAGCAUUGCAAAAGGACAAACAGCAGAGACCUGCUGUAGUAAACGGCAAGAAUAUUCAGAAGGGGCAAGGAAAGACAGUUUGUAAAGAAAAAGAGAGGUGACUGCAGGAGAUAUUUUCACAAACAUGGUUGGUCACAGUGAUUACGAGUUCCUUCAGCUCCUAAGGGAACUGUGCAAAGGAAAUUAUGGAGCACAGUGGUGAGUUGACAGGUGACUACCAUGUGCAGCAUCCCAAAGACCUCCCACGACAGCAAGAAAAGCAAAAGGCUUUCCACUGUGCCCUACGGAAAAGGACAAGAAGACAAAACACACGUGCUAUCAGGCCACAGAGGUUUGAGGAGGCCUCCUGGAAUGUGUGACCUUGGACGCGUGCCUGAAGCACCAGACAAGACCCCCAAGCAGGGGAGGAAACCAGAGACCUCCAUGGAACCUGGACCUUGGCCCAGACAAGGGAGCUGCCUCUCAUGGUCCUUCACCCCUCAAAACUCAAGAGCUCACAGGUCAUGGUACACAUGUGCGUAUCCACCAUGCAUAUCUGCACAUUGUACACACCAUAGCUGA